GGCGCAGGGGAGCAGGCUGACCACGCAGGUCAGCAGCCAAGGGGGCCUGCAGAGUCUGAAGAGGCAGCAGUUACAGCAGUUUCAGCUGUUACAACAGUUACAGCCGUUUCAGUUGUAACAAUUGUUAGUGGGGCGGCUGUUACAGGAGUUACAAGUCUUUGAGAGGCUUGUGGAGAUCAUGGGGCAGACUAGGAGCAUCUAGGAGUCCUUUUUGGAAGACUUAGAAGCUUGUCUUGUAGGCAUAGUCUUAGGAACUUGUAAAGUUUAUUUACUAACUCUUAGGCAGAAUUAGAGUAGUAUAAAUAGUAGAUUACUUUACUUGUAAAGCAUCCAAUUAUUUUCAAGUAAUAGAAGUUCCUUCUUCCAAAGUUCUGUCUUACUUCUUAUUUUCUUAGCGAUCGGAGUUUUAGGCUUACUAGAGUUUGCAAGAACGUGCAAAAGUCGUGAGUAAACCGUCUAGUGCCGCACGGAACAUAGUCCGAAUCAAAAAGUCCGUGACAGUUGGUAUCAGAGAAAAGGUUUAUCGUAGGAAAAUGACGAACGGAGGAAACGGUGGCGGCACCCCCAACGUUCAGGGAGGAAAGAAGAACAAAAAGGGAAAGAACAAGAAGGGCAAUGAACCCAGUCUGCCCAACCCUCCACCGAGCGACCUGCCAGCAGGCAGUCUGCCAUCAGGCGACCUGCCAUCAGGCAGUGUCCCCUCGGGCGACCUGCCAUCAGGCAGUGUCCCCUCGGGCGACCUGCCAUCAGGCAGUGUCCCCUCGGGCGACCUGCCAUCAGGCAGUGUUCCACCAGGAGGUUUACCAUCAAGCGAUCUGCCAACAAAUGAUCCUCCACCAGGCGACGGACAAACAUCUUUCCAGGAGAAUACAGAUGUGGAAAGUGAAGACGAUGUCAGCGACGACGUUAUAGACGUCACUGUUGGACAUGAAUGGAUUGCCAGCGUUGAGAGGGCAAGACUUGCUGUUGAGAUUUUGGGGCAGCGCUUGAAUGGUUUGGACAGCGAUGUUAAAAACCUUGAAGAAAAUUCCCUUGAGGAAGUUAACAUCAUCCGGAAGGAGUUGGAUCUAUGCAAGCGGACUGAAUUGGAGUUGAAGGAGUCCAUUACCUCCUUGGAGUUCAGGUUGUUGGAUGCCACCACAAUGAUCCAGACCCUGAAGAACAAGGUAGUAGCCCUCGAAGAAGAGAGGGAGGUUGCAGCAACAGCAUCACUUGGCCAGGAGAGGGAGACCAGGGUCGAGGUUCCCAAGCCACCAACAUUUAAGGGUGUCCGAGACGCCCUAGAGGUAGGCAAUUUCUUAUGGCACUUGGAAAAUUAUUUCAGGUGUAAUCGGGUAAGGAGCGAUGCAAGCAAGAUCAACACUGCCGUGUUGUAUCUUUCCGACGUAGCCAUGUUGUGGUGGAAAUGCAAAGAUGCCGAGAUCAAGAGGGGCACACGCACCAUCGACACAUGGGAACAAUUCCUUGAGGAAUUCAAGAAAGCUUUCUUCCCCAACAAUGCUGUUUAUGAGAUGAAGCGCAAACUUCGGGAGUUGAAGCAGACGGGAAGUAUUAGGGCCUAUGUGAAGGAGUUCACAAUCUUGACCCUCCAGAUUCCCCAACUCACGGAAGAUGACAUGCUGUUCACCUUCAUGGACGGGCUGCAGAAUUGGGCGAGGACCGAGUUAGAGUGGCGUCAAGUAAAAACCAUCGAUGAGGCCAUCACUCAAGCCGAGACCUUGACAGACUUCAAACAUGAUCGUUUGGACAAGGCGAAGGGCAAGGAGGCAAAGGGCAGACAAGCUAAAGGUGGGGGAGACCGUGGCCGAGGCAGAGAACCGUCGGCACAACCCAAGCAGCAAGACACACCCAAGUCUGAUGGCAAACGGUUCGAACGCCGGAAGUUCUCGGAGAAGCGGACGCAGUCCAGUAGAGGGGACGGGUGCUAUAUAUGUGGCGGACCACACGGUUACGCUAGGUUCCCAUAGAUGAAGAACCUUGGUGCCAUCGCCCGUGAGCGGAAGGAAAAGGAGGCACAAGACAAGGCGAAACCGGCAGACACCACUCAAUUGGGCAUGGUUGGAAUCUGUGGUGCCAUAGCAAAGCAGGCUGACAACCCGGGGGAUUUCAGCACACAAUAUGUGGAUAUCUCCAUCAAUGGGCAAGCAGUUCGGGCCAUGGUAGAUUCCGGGGCUGAGGCUAACAUCAUCACCAAGGCGGCGGCGGAGAAAUUUGGACUGAAAAUUGUUCCAAGUAACAAUCGCCUCAAGACGGUCAAUGCCCCACCAACUCCCAUGUGUGGAAUUGCUCAUGGGGUCGGCAUCACUUUAGGACGGUGGAAAGGUAAGACAAACUUUACCGUAGCUCCUCUGGAUAUAUCCGAUGUCAUUCUUGGGCAGGAAUUCUUUCAACGUUGCCACACGAUGAUCGAUCCCUACCUUCAACAACUCAUGGUGAUGGAGGGGGAAGGGUCUUGUAUGGUGCCUCUUAUUAGGGUGCCGAAGAAAGACGGAUAUGCCCAACUGUCGGCCAUGCAGAUUGUGAAGGGCCUGAAGAAAGGAGCGCCAACCUUUUUAGCCACCAUCGCAAGUUCGAGUGAAGACCAUGGUGCUAUGCAGCCACUGCCACCUAUUAUAGAAUCUGUUUUGCAGGAAAACAGUGAUGUGAUGCCGGAGGAGCUGCCGAAGACACUACCUCCAAGGCGCGAGGUAGAUCACAUGCUUGAGUUGGAGGCGGGAGCCAAGCCACCUGCGCUUGCACCUUAUCGCAUGGCUCCGCCCGAAUUAGAAGAACUGAGGAAGCAAUUGAAAGAGCUCCUCGAAGCAGGUCAUAUUCGUCCAUCAAAGGCACCCUAUGGAGCGCCGGUGCUGUUUCAGAAGAAGAAAGACGGAUCGAUGCAUUUAUGCAUUGAUUACAGGGCGCUCAACAAGAUCACAAUCUGGAACAAGUAUCCAAUCCCGCUGAUCGCAGAUUUGUUCGAUCAUCUUGGAGAGGCCAAAUACUUCACCAAGAUGGAUCUCCGGAAAGGCUACUAUCAAGUGCGCAUUGCAGAGGGGGAUGAGCCAAAGACAGCAUGCGUGAUCAGGUAUGGAGCAUUCGAAUGGUUGGUGAUGCCCUUCGGCUUAACCAACGCACCUGCCACAUUUUGCACGCUGAUGAACGAGAUUUUGCAUCCCUACUUGGAUUAGUUCGUAGUAGUGUACUUAGAUGACAUAGUCGUCUAUAGUAGCACUUUGCAGGAACAUGUAGAGCACUUGAAGAAGGUCUUCAAAGUUUUGCGAGAAAAUCAGCUCUAUGUCAAGCGGGAGAAGUGCGAGUUCGCCCAACCAAAGAUACAUUUCUUGGGCCAUGUGAUCAGCCAAGGUGAGCUUCGUAUGGACGAGGCAAAGGUAAAGGCGAUCCAAGAUUGGGAAGCGCCUACAAAAAUGACCGAGCUACGUUCUUUUCUUGGACUUGCUAAUUAUUAUCGCAGGUUCAUCAGCGGGUACUCCGCUAUUGCUGCACCACUGACCGAGCUGCUGAAGAAGAACAGGCCUUGGUUGUGGAGCGAGGAGUGCGAGGAAGCGUUCGAGGGUCUUAAGGCUGCGGUGACUAAAGAGCCAGUUUAGAUGCUGCCUGAUUUCACCAAGACCUUCGAAAUCCAUACGGAUGCUUCUGAAUUUGCCAUUGGGGGAGUCUUGAUGCAAGAGAAGCACCCCAUAGCAUUCGAAAGCCGGAAGCUGAAUGAAGCGGAACGACGGUACACUGUGCAGGAGAAGGAGAUGACAGCCAUUGUGCAUUGUCUACGCACAUGGAGGCAUUAUCUACUAGGCUCCAAAUUUGUAGUAAAAACUGAAAAUGUUGCCACUAGCUAUUUUCAGUCGCAGAAGAAGAUCACACCAAAGCAGGCUCGUUGGCAGGAUUUCUUAGCUGAAUUUGACUACAACUUGGAGUACAAACCAGGAAGGGGCAAUGUGGUAGCCGAUGCAUUGAGCAGAAAGACUGAGUUAGCGGCCAUCUCCUCAGUCCGUAGUGAAUUUCAAGGCGCAAUCAAAGAUGGUAUGCAACGGGAUCCGGAAGCCAAGAAGAUUAUGGAGCUGGCUGCUCAAGGCCAAACCAAACGGUUUUGGGUAGAAGACGGAUUCUUGCUUACCACUGGCCGGAGGAUUUAUGUACCAAAGUUCGGAUUCAUCAGGCGGCGUAUUAUCAAAGAAAGCCACGAUACUCCGUGGGCUGGGCAUCCGGGACAGAAGAGAACGAGGGCGUUAGUGGAGGCCUUCUAUUUCUGGCCACGUAUGCGGGAAGAGAUUGAGCAGUACGUGCAGACUUGUCUAGUGUGCCAGCAAGACAAGAUAGAGCAGAGGCAACCAGGAGGGCUGUUGGAGCCGUUACCCAUAGCUGAUCGUUCAUGGGAGAGCAUAUCUAUGGAUUUCAUUACUUCUUUGCCGAAGUCAAACGGGUUUGGCACUAUUAUGGUCGUAGUGGACAGAUUUUCCAAAUAUGCUACAUUCAUGCCUGCCACAGCCGGUUGUACUGCUAAGGAAGCUGCACAAUUGUUCUUUAAGAAUGUAGUGAAGUAUUGGGGGCUGCCGAGGUUCAUCAUUAGUGAUCGGGAUCCUCGUUUCACAGGGAACUUUUGGAGUGAACUCUUUGAGAUUCUUGGUUCAAAACUUCACUUUUCCACCAGUUUCCACCCCCAAACUGAUGGCCAAACUGAACGUGUCAAUGCCUUGUUGGAAUGCUAUCUCAGGCACUAUGUUAGUGCACAUCAGAAGGAUUGGGCUAAGCUCCUAGACAUGGCGCAAUUUUCUUAUAAUUUGCAGAGGAGUGAAUCUACAGGGCGCACACCGUUCGAGUUAGCAACGGGCCAACAACCCCAAACUCCGCACUCAUUGCCAACAUUGUUCGAAGGGAAGAGUUUGGGCGCUUACAACCUUGCCAAGGGUUGGGAAGAGCAACUCGACCUUGCCAAAUCUUAUUUGAGCAAGGCGGCAAGGAAGAUGAAGAAGUUCGCCGACCGCAAGCGUCGUCCCACCAACUACAAAGAAGGUGAUAUGGUUUUGGUAAAGUUUAAUCCGAGGCAGUUUAAGGCGCUUAGAGGCAUGCAUCACAACCUGGUGCGGAAAUAUGAGGGUCCGUUCAAAAUUGUUGCCAAGGUGGGUAAGAUUUCAUACAGAUUGGAGUUACCUCCACACUUCAAGAUCCACCCGGUCUUUCAUGCAAGCGUCCUUAAGCCUUAUCAUGAGGACAAGGACGAUCCCAGCCGGAACAAAUCACAACGGGCCCCUAUCACCGUUACUGCCUCGCAUGAUCGUGUGAUUGAAGCUAUCAUAGAUUACCAAGCCAAGCAAAAACGAGGACAACAGGCCAGUGCCAUGUUUCUCGUACAUUGGAAGGGACAAACUCCGGAGGAAGCCACAUGGGAGAAGUACGAAGACUUGUGGCAGUUCAAAGACAAAAUUCAGGAGUUCUUGCAGCAAUGCGUCGCGGUCGUCGCAUCAUGGGGUGGGGGAGAUUGUGACGUCCCGCCAUCCAUUCAGGCCGAACGCCACCCAACGAGGCAGCCAGCAGGCGCAGCAGGCGCAGGGGAGCAGGCUGACCACGCAGGUCAGCAGCCAAGGGGGCCUGCAGCAGCUGAAGAGGCAGCAGUUACAGCAGUUUCAGCUGUUACAACAGUUACAGCCGUUUCAGCUGUAACAAUUGUUAGUGGGGCGGCUGUUACAGGAGUUACAAGUCUUUGAGAGGCUUGUGGAGAUCAUGGGGCAUACUAGGAGCAUCUAGGAGUCCUU
rnacentral:lncRNA from 1 species